GUCAGCUGACACAUCCCUGCCAAUCUCCGGCAGACCCUCCCUCCCAGACCCUCCUACUUCCUGGACAGCAUCCAUGUUGAAGGCAGCUUCAACAUGGAUGCUGUCCAGGAGGUGGGAGGGUCUGGGAGGGAGGGUCUGCCGGUUAUUGGCAGGGAUGUGUCAGCUG